GGGGGGGGGGGGCGGGGGGCCUGGGACAGGCAAGGAGAGCGCGGGGGAGAGGAGCUGGCUCUUCUUGGAUGAGUGGCGAACGGGUGAGUAACGCGUAGGUAACCUGCCUUGUAGCGGGGGAUAACUAUUGGAAACGAUAGCUAAUACCGCAUAACAAUGGAUGACACAUGUCAUUUAUUUGAAAGGGGCAAUUGCUCCACUACAAGAUGGACCUGCGUUGUAUUAGCUAGUAGGUGAGGUAAUGGCUCACCUAGGCGACGAUACAUAGCCGACCUGAGAGGGUGAUCGGCCACACUGGGACUGAGACACGGCCCAGACUCCUACGGGAGGCAGCAGUAGGGAAUCUUCGGCAAUGGGGGCAACCCUGACCGAGCAACGCCGCGUGAGUGAAGAAGGUUUUCGGAUCGUAAAGCUCUGUUGUAAGUCAAGAACGGGUGUGAGAGUGGAAAGUUCACACUGUGACGGUAGCUUACCAGAAAGGGACGGCUAACUACGUG
rnacentral:rRNA from 1 species